rnacentral:rRNA from 1 species
AAUGAACGCUGGCGGCAGGCCUAAAACAUGCAAGUCGAACGCCGUAGCAAUACGGAGUGGCGCACGGGUGAGUAACACGUGGGAAUAUGCCUUUUGGUACGGAACAACUUUUGGAAACGAAAGCUAAUACCGUAUGGUCCCUUCGGGGUAAAGAUUUAUCGCCAAAAGAUUAGCCCGCGCUGGAUUAGCUAGUUGGUGAGGUAAUGGCUCACCAAGGCGACGAUCCAUAGCUGGUCUUAGAGGACGAUCAGCCACACUGGGACUGAGACACGGCCCAGACUCCUACGGGAGGCAGCAGUUAGGAAUAUUGGACAAUGGGCGCAAGCCUGAUCCAGCCAUGCCGCGUGAGUGAUGAAGGCCUUCGGGUUGUAAAGCUCUUUAGCCGAUGAAUAUAAUGACUGUAGUCGGAAAAUAAGCCCCGGCUAACUUCGUGCCAGCCGCCGCGGUAAUAC